UCCAGGGUUCAAAGAAGAAGAGUAGUGAUCUCAAAUAUGACAUAUUUGGAUGGAUUAUCCUAGCAGUUGGAAUUGUUGCGUGGGUGGGAAUGGUGAAAUCCCACAUUCCUCCACCUCCUCCAAAAUAAGCCUUUUGCUCAUGUUCAAGGCAGCCUUGCCGGUACUAGCUGGAAGUUUCAAAUUCGGGUCGAUAGAUUCAACAGUCUGGAGAUGUAGUGAAUUCAGUAAUUCAUGGGGUGUGCUAUCCAAAACAAAUAAAAAUACACGCCGAGGACCUGUAGAAUAGGCAAAAUAUCAGUAUUUUUACUCUUUCACUACUUUUUGGUGACGCUUUCCCCUAUCUACUAACCUGAUCUGCCAUAACCAGGAGGAUUAUCUACCCAUCAGUUUCUCAGGAGUUCUUCCAAUAUCCACUAUGUCAGUCACCAUAAAGAAAGGAACAGAGCUUGUCUUGCUGCUUUAGGCCAGGCGCACCUCAGGCCCACCACCCCCUUCUCUAAUGGGAAUGCAGUGGAGGGAGCAUCGUAUAGAAACUUCUCUUGGUUCUGUGUCUGUUGCUGUGUAUGGAGACCCGGACAAGCCAGCUCUUGUCACUUAUCCAGAUUUAGGUCUAAAUCAUGUGUCCUGCUUUCAAGGAUUAUUCUUUUGUCCAGAAGCAUGUUCCUUGCUGCUCCACAAUUUUUGCAUAUAUCAUAUUAGUCCUCCAGGGCAUGAGUUGGGAGCUGCCGAAAUCAGCCCCGAAAAGCCUUUGCUUUCCGCUGAUGAUUUAGCAGAUCAGAUUGUCGAGGUUCUCGAUUUCUUUGGAGGAAGAAAAGGUUGAGCAGACCCUUCUACAGCUAAGAAGUUUGAAGAAAAUUGUAAACAAUCUAUGGAGUACUUUACCUUUAUUAUUUAAGGCUGCAAUUCGAUUUAAGGUUGAGAUUGUAUCACCUGCAAAAUGGGAAAGGUCACAUUCUACUCUUAUCUUGCCUCAUUGGAAAAGGUAUACAAAUAGCAUUCCCUCCCGAAUUUAUAAUGACUAUGUUGUCUGAAGCUUUGGCUUGAGCAGUAGAUUUUGUAUAGAGAUGCAAGCAGAAGCAGAACGCAAAAAGAGAGCUCAAGUUCUUGACUCUGAAGUACUAUGACACUGUCAUGGUGGGCCUAUAAAAGGAGUCGAGAGACACGUCCCAAUGUACAGGCCAUGAGCUGGUCACCCUCUCUUUUUCUGCACUCAAAUUCAGCUCUCAAGUAAUCUACCACAGAUGGAGGUAAAGAAGGAACAUAUAUUAGAGCCUUAUGGGAGAUUUGAGGGGAUAGAUCAUGAAGCUGCAACCACACCUUGGACUCUGAAGGAUGCCAUUAUCGUACCCCAAAGAAAAUCUUGCAGCAAAAUCUCAAGCGUAGCUCAAGAUGACAAAGAUGAGGCUGGAAUUAGUAAAAUGAAAAGUUUUGAUAAAAAUUUGGAAUCCCCAGCUGGGAGAAAAAUUCGCAAGGCAAAGUCACUGAGUGCUCAACUCGAGAAGUCCUAUGCUGAAGCCCUUUUUUUUCUUAAACACAUCGUAUCUGAUCUAAUAUAGUG